rnacentral:lncRNA from 1 species
AAUUUUUUUUUACUGUUCAUUUGUUCUCUAUUUUAUAAAAAAUAUAUAACAAUCAUAUGGGUUAGUCAUUAGGCACACAAAACUCAAACACAAUAGCUGCUCCUCAGUUCGUGACCUUACAACUCACACUCUCGCAGCAUCAAUUUAGGUUUUAAACUUUCAAUCAAUUAAGGUGAAGAGGAAGACAAGGAUUGCAGAGGGCUGCCGCCUGCCAGAGGCCAGAGAGCUUACCGGAAAAAGGUAAAUUCCAAUUCUUUAAACCCUAAACUAUAUCUAACACAAUUAGAAUCUACUGAAACUUAUUAUUUGUGAUUUGUGAGCUAUAAUUUAUAAAUUUGUACUUGUACAACAUCACAAUUCACAACAUAUAGGUUAGUCUUGAUUUAACACUUUAUUGUACACAUCAAAGUUUAUGGAUGAUUUUGGGUAAUUGAGUUGUUCUUAUAUUUUUGUACAUUUUGUAGUUAAUUUCAGGGGCCAAUUUCAUAUAAUAGUUUUUGGUGCAGAUUAUUCUAUAAUGGAUAGAAUAAUCUGCAUUUCCAGCAUUUCCAGAAUAUGACGACUCGAAGGAUUGAUUUACCACGCUUACGGAAUGAAUAAAGGUACUUACUAAUAAUUUUACUUAUGCAGUAUAUCACAACAUAAAUUUUAAUGCUUGCUUAUAACUUUAGUUCUAAUAGUAUAACUGAUAUUUUGCAUAAAAUCAAGUCUCAUGCUUCCUGAGUAGUAUAAUUCAUGCUUAAAUUAGUGUAUAUAUGGACCCCCCUAGGAAAAGUUUCUGCGUCCGUCACUG